UACGAAGGGGGCGAGCGUUGUUCGGAGUUACUGGGCGUAAAGGGCGCGUAGGCGGCGACUCAAGUUAGAUGUGAAAGUCCUGGGCUUAACCUGGGGACUGCAUUUGAUACUGGGUUGCUUGAAUUCGGGAGAGGAUAGCGGAAUUCCCAGUGUAGAGGUGAAAUUCGUAGAUAUUGGGAAGAACACCGGUGGCGAAGGCGGCUAUCUGGACCGACAUUGACGCUGAGGCGCGAAAGCGUGGGGAGCAAACAGG
rnacentral:rRNA from 1 species